rnacentral:rRNA from 1 species
UACGGAGGGAGCUAGCGUUGUUCGGAAUUACUGGGCGUAAAGCGCACGUAGGCGGCUACUCAAGUCAGAGGUGAAAAGCCCGGGGCUCAACCCCGGAACUGCCUUUGAAACUAGGUAGCUAGAAUCUUGGAGAGGUCAGUGGAAUUCCGAGUGUAGAGGUGAAAUUCGUAGAUAUUCGGAAGAACACCAGUGGCGAAGGCGACUGACUGGACAAGUAUUGACGCUGAGGUGCGAAAGCGUGGGGAGCAAACAGG